GUUCAGGAGAUUGGUGCUUGCAGUAGCUGUCGGUGCAGCUGAAAAAGGGGAAUAUCGCCUUAACGGUUUUUAACCUUUUGGGCAAAACGGUCCGUUACAAUUGGUAUAUCCAUUACUUGGGAGGAUAUACUAAACUAUUCCCCUUUACAAGUUUUAAAAGUAAGUGCCCCUUUUUUUACACACUGUAUCACUUCUUAAACACUUUGCUUGAAAGGGAAAAGAUACAUUAUAUAGUACAGGGGUUUCCAAUUAAUUUUUACCAUGAAACCCUUUGAAAUA